ACAUUAAUACGAACACUGUUGUUCCAUUGUUGACUUGUAUUUUUAGUUUGUAUGCUGCUUAGAGUUGAGCAGUUGAAGCAGGAGAAAAGAACUUGUAAUAAAUAAACACAUAACUGAAUGAAUGCACUCUAGCUGGGCCACUUUGGAUAUUUUUCUUUCUUUCUUUUUAGGAAAUGAUAUUCACUCAGCCACCUUUGGGAUUGCUGAGUGGCCACUAAAGAUGGGAGAUGAAUGGCAACAAAUUGUUAGAGGAAAGAAUUCCAUGUGUGCUACUAAAGAUGAAGCUACCAACCUUUGAACCAGGAAGUUCUCCACCUUGAGCAUUUUUUUUAAAAAAAUGGAACAAAUAGCCAGUCAUUUAAAUUUGGGAAUGUUCCUUCCACAAAACCUAAUUGUGAGGGAAGAGACAGGAGAAAUGAAGUGAGAACACUGAACAUCAGAGAAAAGAAAAAAACACAGGAGAAAGGAUGUAAAUGAGGGAAAACAGGCUCAUCUAUCCAUCAUUGACCCACCUCUAUCCCUUUUGGAUUUUGGUUAGGAUCCUGCCCUAGCCUUGGUCUAUGGACUCCAAAGGAUAAUCCACAAGAGAAUAAAGCAUUAAAAUGGUAAUCCAUC